CAAUAGCGUAUAUUAAAGUUGUUGCAGUUAAAAAGCUCGUAGUUGGAUUUGUGGCGUACGGUGUGUUCCGGGCACUUGUUGUCUGAGUAACCUGCUGUUGCCAUCCUUGGGUGGAACCUGUGUGGCAUUAGGUUGUCGUGCAGGGGAUGCUCAUCGUUUACUGUGAAAAAAUUAGAGUGUUCAAAGCAGGCUUACGCCGUUGAAUAUAUUAGCAUGGAAUAAUAAGAUAGGACCUUGGUACUAUUUUGUUGGUUUGCGCACCGAGGUAAUGAUUAACAGGGACAGUUGGGGGUAUUCGUAUUCCAUUGUCAGAGGUGAAAUUCUUGGAUUUCUGGAAGACGAACUACUGCGAAAGCAUUUACCAAGGAUGUUUUCAUUAA
rnacentral:rRNA from 1 species